GAUGAACGCUGGCGGCGUGCUUAACACAUGCAAGUCGAACGAAGCAUUUUGCGGAAGCCUUCGGGUGGAAGUAAAAUGACUGAGUGGCGGACGGGUGAGUAACGCGUGGGUAACCUGCCUCAUACAGGGGGAUAACAGUUAGAAAUGGCUGCUAAUACCGCAUAAGCGCACAGUGCCGCAUGGUACGGUGUGAAAAACUCCGGUGGUAUGAGAUGGACCCGCGUCUGAUUAGCUAGUUGGUAAGGUAACGGCUUACCAAGGCGACGAUCAGUAGCCGGCCUGAGAGGGUGACCGGCCACAUUGGGACUGAGACACGGCCCAAACUCCUACGGGAGGCAGCAGUGGGGAAUAUUGCACAAUGGGGGAAACCCUGAUGCAGCGACGCCGCGUGAGUGAAGAAGUAUUUCGGUAUGUAAAGCUCUAUCAGCAGGGAAGAAAAUGACGGUACCUGACUAAGAAGCCCCGGCUAACUACGUGCCAGCAGCCGCAGUAACAC
rnacentral:rRNA from 1 species